AUUGAACGCUGGCGGCAGGCCUAACACAUGCAAGUCGAACGAGUGGCGGACGGGUGAGUAAUGUCUGGGAAACUGCCUGAUGGAGGGGGAUAACUACUGGAAACGGUAGCUAAUACCGCAUACCAUCGGAUGUGCCCAGAUGGGAUUAGCUAGUGGGGGGGGUAAUGGCUCACCUGGGCGACGAUCCCUAGCUGGUGUGAGAGGAUGACCAGCCACACUGGAACUGAGACACGGUCCAGACUCCUACGUGAGGCAGCAGUGGGGAAGAUUGGACAAUGGGCGCAAGCCUGAUGCAGCCAUGCCGCGUGUGAUAAGAAGGCCUUCGGGUUGUAAAGCACUUUCAGCGGGGAGGCGUUACCCGCAGAAGAAGCACCGGCUAACUCCGUGCCAGCAGCCGCGGUAAUUC
rnacentral:rRNA from 1 species